UGCAGCAGCCUCUUCGUUAUCCCAACCUUAGAGGGAUUCUUUCAACUGUUGACGCACACUGUAUAUAGGAGCUACCCAGUCGACAACAUUCCCAGGCAUCCCUCACUUGCUCACAGGUACCUUAUAUGCUUUCUCACAUGAACCAAUUUAUUGGAUAUUUUUCUCCAUAUAUUUGUUUAUUACUCCUAUUUUUCACAAAGGAUCAUAGAACUCACCAAAAAUAACAAACUCUAAUCACAAUAAGAUAUUGAGAUACAAAAUUUUAACAAUUGCGAGAAGAGCUUUUGAUGAAGUCUAUAUCUUCAUGACUUUAAAGCUUGUGUUUGCCUCAUUAUCACAUCAAAAAAUGUAUGCAAUUUGUUCUGCAAAUGCAAAUGAAAUGUACAGGUAAAAAUUAGAAAGAAAUCAGUGGUAGGAAGAGGAAGAAUACAACAUUUGCCUCUACAGCUGCUUUGCUAAGAAAUAAGCGCAAUACACCUGCUUAUACAAAAGCAAAAGUGAUUUAAUGGCCAAUCAAAUUAAUCUUUCAUAUAAUUUAAUUCAUGAGUCCUUUCGUUUGUUCCAUAUGUUGUUCUAACUUAUUUCCUAUUGCAAUUGUUCAAAUUCAAUAUUCCUAAAUAGUAACUCUAUUUCACAGGAGAUUGCCCACAGCUAAAACAUAGAAAUAACGCUGAUACAGAACAGUGUGCAGGCUGUGCAUCUGACUCUUCAUUAUGACCACCUUAGAGGGAUUGCUUCCACUCCUCACGCAAACCGUAUAUACCGGCUAGCCAGUCCACAAGAUUGACACACAUCCCACACGUUCUCACAGGUACGUUAUGUGCUUUUUCUCAUAAUGUACACAAUUUCAGAUACCAGUGAUAUACAAUGGCCUGCACCGUAUGCAGCAGCAUCUUCAUUACCGUCACCUUAGAGCGAUUGCUUCAACUGCCAACACAAAUCGUAUAUACAGCCUG
rnacentral:lncRNA from 1 species